ACCCCGGUAUUAUUGCUGUUAUGGGUUUGAAUCGAGCUUAGCCUUGUUCAUUUUUUUACACAACACCCCCGUAAAAAAUACAACACGGCCCGCUCAAGCCUGCGGGCGCCACCCGUCAAAACAGAACAAAUACGCCCCAAAAAGCGUCAAAAAUGGCCUUCCGGCGCUUUUUAAGGGCA
rnacentral:sRNA from 1 species